AUGUAUGUAUGUAUGUAUGUAUGCAUGUAUGCAUGUAUGCAUGCGUGUGUGCGUGUGUGUGUGUGUG
rnacentral:miRNA from 10 species